UACAAAUAUGAAACACAUUAACACAGGCACCAUGCCGUAACCGGCUAUUAGUGUAUGUAUAGUGUAUGUCUCUCUCUCUGUUAAAGGAUUGCCCGAACAUAAAACAAUUUAUGCGUCUAAAAUGAUAAACCUUUUAAAAAUACUAAGGAUUCAUUCGAAAAUAAAUAAAUAACACCGGAUAUGCAACAUGCUGUAGAUGGAAGUACUUAAAGCGAAAAUUCUCCAAUGGGAUAGGAUCAUCGAACGGUUUCUUUUCUUUGUUUAUUGGAUAUCAUAAAUAAAUAAUCCACGACAGUCGUUUCAGGUGCCGAUACAGAACAUCACUACCUGCAGAGCAGCGAAAACCACGUGCAAAGAGCGCAGUGGGAGAUUCAGCCGCCACUUACUGUACCUACCACGAAAUGAUUGAACACUGUUAGUGGGAAUACUUACAGGUUUGGUUGCGCCGCACGCAGUUAACAGCAGCAGUUGCAGAAAAUACAUCUCCAACUCUCACCGGCAAGGGCCACCAAUUUUGUGGAUGCGUCGGACUAUAACCAGCCUGCGAUUGUAUGUUUACGUAAGGAUUUUUUUUAUCCACAUAUGUAACUUGCGUGUUUUACACUAUUGUAAAAUUGCAAUAGCUACGAAACAACAUCCACGUGCACUCAAUCCCUCAACCUCUUCCUUCUGCUGGAGGGAAGCGGGAAAGCAACACACAUAUUGAUAUACACACAUACAGAGUAUCGGCUAUAAAUGUAGAGACGUUCCCCUAACCGGCACUCACAACGUACCCGAUUUUUGUGACUAUAUUAGAGAAUACUGCAAUUAGUAAGGAUAAGUAAAGUUCUUCUCAACGCCCUAUAAUUUUUUUUUGUAUCCAACUGUGUUGUUUUUGAUUGAUAAAAUUAAAAUCAUCAAAAACAAAAUCAAAAUCAUUGCUUUGUGGUUUUAUUUUUGAUUUUCAGAGCCAUUUCGAUUGGACAAGUGGUAGUUUGUAACGAUUUAAGAAAUAUGCCCUCAAAUAAAAUCUGAUUCUGGAUAUGCCCCAAUAA